rnacentral:lncRNA from 1 species
GACGAUGAAUAGUUUCUGAUCUAUGGUUCAUGAAACAUAUGAAAGAUUGGAUUUAAAUACUAAUUAAUUUCAUAUUAGAUCUAAAUUAAUUGAACUUAAAUGAAUCCAAAAUUUAAGUUAAACUUGAUACAAAAGUCCUAAAGUGUUUGGGAUUGACAGCCUUUCGAAAUUAUUUCGAACCAGCUUCGAAUCAUAUUCGAAUCGGACCUGUUUUGGAUGAGAUAUGAGUAUUCC